GUGCUCACCUUGGCAGCACAUAUACUAAAAUUGGAACUAUACAGAGAUUAGCAUGGCCCCUUGUGCAAGGAUGAAACACAUGGAUUUUGGUGAACACUUAU
rnacentral:snRNA from 1 species